AGUUCGUUAAAAUUUGUGGUUGUUAAAAUUAAAUAAAUUCCGUUUUAUUUUAAAAUAUAUUUCAUUUUAAUGUGCUUCCGGUGAAAUUUGUCCCAUUGCCCGAGUGUCAUGUCUGAAAUGUUCAAUUACGUGUGUGUUGUUUCGCGUUUUUUGUAGUCGUUGUUUAAAACCAAAGUUUUUGGCGCGUUUUUGCGAGUCGUUUGUAAGAAACCCAAUAAACCAGACAUAAAACCACAAAAUAAAAAUAUCAUGUUCGCGGCGGUGUUUCUACAUAAAAAUGUGAUAAAAAAAAUGAAAAAAAAAAAAAAAAUAUUUCGAGUGCUAAGUAGCUCCUUGUCUGCUUGUCUGGAAAAUCCCCAUGCUCUCAAUAUGUCAUCGAAAAGGUUUUUACCGACCGAAAAACAAAAGGUUACACGACGAGAAAACGAAUAUGACAGUUAAGUGCAAAAAUACAGUAUAUUUGCACAAAUGCCAUGACAGAACAUCUUAAUGGACCGAUGAAUUUUCCUUAAACACUCAUCCAUUUGAGGUAACUUACCAUGAAAUUCAGAAGAAAUAUUUUUUUCCUUUUUUCGGUUUCGAAGACAAUGGAAACAAAUUAAAUAUUUUUACAUAAUUAUUGUUGUGCUUAGACGAUAACGAAUUCGACAAAUUAAUAAAACAAUUAUUUAACCUAA